AGGGUUUGAUCCUGGCUCAGGACGAACGCUGGCGGCAGGCCUAACACAUGCAAGUCAAACGGCCUUCGGAGUUAGUGGCGCACGGGUGCGGAACACGUGGGAACAUACCCUUUGGUAAGGAAUAAUAUCUGGAAACGGAUACUAAUACCUUAUAAUGACUUCGGUCCAAAGAUUUAUCGCCAAAGGAUUGGCCCGCGCAUGAUUAGUUUGUUGGUGAGGUAAUGGCUCACCAAGACUACGAUCAUUAGCUGGUCUGAGAGGACGAUCAGCCACACUGGAACUGAGACACGGUCCAGACUCCUACGGGAGGCAGCAGUGAGGAAUAUUGCACAAUGGGGGAAACCCUGAUGCAGCCAUGCCGCGUGUAUGAAGAAGGCCUUAGGGUUGUAAAGUACUUUCAAUAGUGAAGAUUAUGACGGUAGCUAUAGAAGAAGCCCCGGCUAAAUUCGUGCCAGCAGCCGCGGUAAUACGAAUGGGGCAAGCGUUGUUCGGAAUAACUGGGCUUAAAGCGUGCGCAGGCGGAUAUGAAAGUCAGAAGUGAAAUCCCAGGGCUCAACCCUGGAACUGCUUUUGAAACUCCAUAUCUAGAAUCCGGUAGAGGUCAAGAGAAUUCCUAGUGUAGAGGUGAAAUUCGCAGAUAUUAGGAGGAAUACCAGUGGCGUAGGCGCUUGACUGGACCGGUAUUGACGCUCAUGUACGAAAGCGUGGGGAGCAAACAGGAUUAGAUACCCUGGUAGUCCACGCCGUAAACGAUGUAUGCUAGUUGUUGGAGUCUUAAGGCUUCAGUGACGCAGAGAAAUCAUUAAGCAUACCGCCUGGGGAGUACGGUCGCAAGAUUAAAACUCAAAGGAAUUGACGGGGACCCGCACAAGCGGUGGAGCAUGUUGUUUAAUUCGAAGCAACGCGAAGAACCUUACCCACACUUGACAUACUAGUCGGGGAUUUCAGAGAUGAUUUCCUUCGGUUCGGCCGGACUAGAUACAGGUGCUGCAUGGCUGUCGUCAGCUCGUGUCGUGAGAUGUUAGGUUAAGUCCUGCAACGAGCGCAACCCUUAUCGUAUGUUACCAUCAUUUAGUUGGGGACUCAUGCGAGACUGCCGGUGACAAGCCGGAGGAAGGCGGGGACGACGUCAAGUCAUCAUGGCCCUUACGUGUGGGGCUACAAACGUGCUACAAUGGUAACGACAAUGGGCAGCCACUCCGCGAGGAGGCGCUAAUCUCCAAACGUUAUCUCAGUUCGGAUUGUUCUCUGCAACUCGAGAGCAUGAAGUUGGAAUCGCUAGUAAUCGUGCAUCAGCAUGUCACGGUGAAUACGUUCCCGGGUCUUGUACACACCGCCCGUCACGUCAUGGGAGUUGGUUCUACCCGAAGGCCGUGCGCUAACCGCAAGGAGGCAAGCGACCACGGUAGGGUUAGCGACUGGCACUAAGUCGUAACAAGGUAGCCG
rnacentral:rRNA from 1 species